ACGGGUAGCCGGCCUGAGAGGGUGACCGGCCACACUGGGACUGAGACACGGCCCAGACUCCUACGGGAGGCAGCAGUGGGGAAUAUUGCACAAUGGGCGCAAGCCUGAUGCAGCAACGCCGCGUGAGGGAUGACGGCCUUCGGGUUGUAAACCUCUUUUGGUAGGGAAGAAGCCUUCGGGUGACGGUACCUGCAGAAAAAGCGCCGGCUAACUACGUGCCAGCAGCCGCGGUAAUACGUAGGGCGCAAGCGUUAUCCGGAAUUAUUGGGCGUAAAGAGCUCGUAGGCGGUCUGUCGCGUCUGCUGUGAAAUCCCGAGGCUCAACCUCGGGCUUGCAGUGGGUACGGGCAGACUAGAGUGCGGUAGGGGAGAUUGGAAUUCCUGGUGUAGCGGUGGAAUGCGCAGAUAUCAGGAGGAACACCGAUGGCGAAGGCAGAUCUCUGGGCCGUUACUGACGCUGAGGAGCGAAAGGGUGGGGAGCAAACAGGCUUAGAUACCCUGGUAGUCCACCCCGUAAACGUUGGGAACUAGUUGUGGGGUCCUUUCCACGGAUC
rnacentral:rRNA from 1 species